UGCCCCUGUGGCUGGGAUCAUCCUGACUCAGAUGACAAAUCUACGUCAGUGUUUCUGUCAAGAUUCUGUCUCUGACGAUGAAACCUCACACUUCCUCACCAUGCUGGACUCCACAGCAGGUCAAGGUCAAACAGGGUCAUGGGGUCAAUUGUCAGGGUCAUGAACCCAAUUUGCUUCCUCCCUUCAACUGGUGCUCAGAGGAGUGAUAGAUCACAUUCUGCUUUCAAGUGGUGGCCAGCAGAGAGUAAGAGCCAACUUAUAUGGGGCCCUGCUGUCUUAUCUAAAAAUCGCUCAGAAACCCAAGUCUCUGACUCACAUCAUACACAAGGCAGGAGGUGAUGGGGUUGGGAAGAGGAUUUUGGCCGACGCCCACUCCGAUUAUGAACAGC